ensembl:lncRNA novel transcript
UACUCUGGCCACCACGAUCUUGGCAGCCCACACCUGAUCAGGACCUAAAGCGUGAAGGGUGUGAAUGAGGAGAAACGAGGACCGCCUGCUACCCCAGCGUCUGGCCCCCUGGGGACUGAAGGCUGGCUCUGGAGCUGUACCUCGGCAACUGCUAUAAGGCUGCCGAAGCCGCCGCCACUAAGGCGGCCGCCAGCAGCCUGAAUGCAGGUUAUAUGUCCCUUGAAGGAGUUGAGUAAAUACAGGCAGUAUGUGACUAGUUUAAAAUUAGACUUUGAAAGAAACUGUAUAAGAGAACAAGGUUUCACUCCAAUCACCCAGGCUGGAGUGCAGUGGGAUGCUCUCAGUUCACUGCAGCAUCAACUUCCCGAGCUCAGCCGGCCAACACUUAUGGAAAAUAGAAAGAACCUAUGUUGAAAUAUUGGGGGCAGGUUCCCCCAAUACAGGACCACAUAAGAAGAAAUCUUGAUCUCUGUAGACAAAUUGAAGAGGCAAAAAAGUCCUGUUGUGUCUGACAAAAAUUAAGUCGUAAAUAGAGAAGCAAGAGCUGAAGAAUGACACCAGAAAACCUGAGGACAAACUGGCUGGAAGAGACGGGCUCUCACUCUGUCACCCAAACUGGAGUACAGUGGCACAAUCAUAGCUCACUGUAGCCUCAACCUCCUGGGCUCAAGUGAUCCUCCCACCUCGGCUUCCCAAGUAGCUGGGACUACAAGUGCACACCACCAUACCUAGAUAUUUUUUUGUUGUUGUUUUUGGUAGAGAUGGUUUCUCAUUAUGUUGCCCAGGCUAGUCUUGAACUCCUGGGCUUGAGUGAUCCUCCUGCCUAGGCCUCCCAAAGUCGUGGAAUAAUAGGCAUGAGCCGCCACAUUCAGCCUAUUUUUAAAAAUAUUUUAGAAACAAGCACUUCUAGAGAAAAACAAUUACCUAUUUUUACAAACAAUGUUUUAAAAAUGACCUGUAAGAUGAAGACCAGAGGAAAGUGCAUUUGAAAACAAACGACAAGAUGAAACAGAAGCCCGACUCCAAGCAUCAGCUGAGUGUCCGCCAACUCGGCCGCAGCCAUCUUCCGCCGCCGCGGCGCGCAGCUCUAAAGAUUCUGCCUUUGUGGAGCCCCCAAAAUGGCUCAGACUUUCAGGAAGCUUCCCCAUCUUACUGCUUCUUUUCCAAAGAUGGCGUCCAUGUGCCUGAGGGCCAGUUCAUCAUUCUCAAAAUGGUACCAAGAUUGCUAUCAAAAAGUGAAGAAGCAAUUACAUCCUUGAUGGAAUGUAUAGAGUAACACGACAGAACAAAAAGAAGAAAUUGUGUUUCAAAUGAAUAAAAAGUGCCUCACUUCAUGCUUCAGUUGUUUCUGCUAAAACAACAAAUGUCCCCAGACAAUCUUUACCAGAUAUUCUGAGACAAGAGGUGAGACAUGCUGAUUUAAGUGUAAAAAGGCCCAAGAAACCAAGCUUCAGCUAUGAACCAGAAAUCAUUGGCUGGGAUGCUCAUACCACUUACACAUUCAUUCCAGAGAACGUAUGCUUUUUUUCCAAGAUAUAAGCCCUGGGUCUGGGGGAUUGUGGUGUGGAGAUCUACUUGUCUUGUGACCACUCAAGACCACGAUUCUGUCUGUAAGUUCCCUUAAUAAAUCACCCCAAAUCGACAAA